AGUGAAACCAGGCUCAAUAGCAGUAACUGUGAGAGGCAUCUUGGACUCCUAGUGGACAGCCAAUUAAAUAUGCACUAGCAGUGCUCUGCAAC